rnacentral:rRNA from 1 species
UUCCAGACUCCUACGGGAGGCAGCAGUGGGGAAUAUUGCACAAUGGGGGAAACCCUGAUGCAGCAACGCCGCGUGAGUGAAGAAGUAUUUCGGUAUGUAAAGCUCUAUCAGCAGGGAAGAAGAAGGACGGUACCUGACUAAGAAGCCCCGGCUAACUACGUGCCAGCAGCCGCGGUAAUACGUAGGGGGCGAGCGUUAUCCGGAUUUACUGGGUGUAAAGGGAGCGUAGACGGUUUUUCAAGUCUGAAGUGAAAGCCCGCGGCUCAACUGCGGAACGGCUUUGGAAACUGAGGGACUAGAGUGCUGGAGGGGCAGGCGGAAUUCCUGGUGUAGCGGUGAAAUGCGUAGAUAUCGCGCAGAACUCCGAUUGCGAAGGCAGCAUGCCGGCUCCACACUGACGCUGAGGCACGAAAGCGUGGGUAUCGAACAGGAUUAGAUACCCCGGUA